rnacentral:ncRNA from 1 species
UCAUCAGAGCCCACAAAAGGUGUCGGUUGAUAUAGACAGCAGGACGGUGGCCAUGGAAGUCGGAAACCGCUAAGGAGUGUGUAACAACUCACCUGCCGAAUCAAUCAGCCCUGAAUAUGGAUGGCGCUGGA